GGCUCUAUAGCUCAGGGGUGAGAGCACUGGUCUCGUAAACCAGGGGUCGUGAGUUCGAAUCUCACUAGAGCCU
rnacentral:tRNA from 1 species